rnacentral:rRNA from 1 species
UACAAAGGGGCCUAGCGUUGCUCGGAAUCACUGGGCGUAAAGGGCGCGUAGGCGGACUUUUAAGUCGGGGGUGAAAGCCCAGGGCUCAACCCUGGAAUUGCCUUCGAUACUGGGAGUCUUGAGUUCGGAAGAGGUUGGUGGAACUGCGAGUGUAGAGGUGAAAUUCGUAGAUAUUCUCAAGAACACCGGUGGUGAAGGCGGCCAACUGGUCCGAGACUGACGCUGAGGCGCGAAAGCGUGGGGAGCAAACAGG